rnacentral:rRNA from 1 species
AACGUAGGAGGCGAGCGUUAUCCGGAUUUACUGGGUGUAAAGCGCGUGCAGGCGGCUCGAUAAGUUGGAUGUGAAAGCUCCCGGCUCAACUGGGAGAGGUCGUUCAAGACUGUCGGGCUUGAGAGUGGUAGGGGAAGGUGGAAUUCCGGGUGUAGUGGUGAAAUGCGUAGAUAUCCGGAGGAACACCAGUGGCGAAGGCGGCCUUCUGGACCACAUCUGACGCUCAGACGCGAAAGCUAGGGUAGCAAACGGG